rnacentral:rRNA from 1 species
AAUAUUGCACAAUGGAGGAAACUCUGAUGCAGCGACGCCGCGUGAACGAUGAAGGCUCUCGAGUCGUAAAGUUCUGUCCCAGGGGACGAUAAUGACGGUACCCUAGGAGGAAGCCCCGGCUAACUAUGUGCCAGCAGCCGCGGUAAUACGUAGGGGGCGAGCGUUGUCCGGAUUUAUUGGGCGUAAAGGGUACGCAGGCGGCCAUGUAAGUCAGAUGUGAAAGACCACAGCUUAACUGUGGUAAGCAUUUGAAACUGCUUGGCUUGAGUUAAGGAGAGGAAAGUAGAAUUCCUAGUGUAGCGGUGAAAUGCGUAGAUAUUAGGAAGAAUAUCAGUGGCGAAGGCGACUUUCUGGACUUAUACUGACGCUGAGGUACGAAAGCGUGGGGAGCAAACA